rnacentral:rRNA from 1 species
GUGCAGCAGUCGCGAAUCCUUCGCAAUGCGGGAAACCGCGACGAGGGGACUCCCAGUGCCUACGCUCAGCGUAGGCUGUUCCCGAGCCUAGAAAGCUCGGGGAGUAAGGGCUGGGUAAGACGGGUGCCAGCCGCCGCGGUAAUACCCGCAGCCCGAGUGGUGGCCACUAUUAUUGGGCCUAAAGCGUCCGUAGCCGGCCCGGUAAGUGCCUGGGUAAAUCGUGAGGCCUAACCUCACGAAUUCCGGGUAGACUGCCGGGCUAGGGACCGGAGGAGGGAGAGGGGUACUCCAGGGGUAGGGGUGAAAUCCUGUAAUCCCUGGAGGACCACCGGUGGCGAAGGCGCUCUCCUAGGACGGGUCCGACGGUGAGGGACGAAAGCCAGGGGAGCGAACCGGAUUAGAUA